rnacentral:rRNA from 1 species
GACGAACGCUGGCGGCGUGCUUAACACAUGCAAGUCGAACGGAAAGGCCCUGCUUUUGUGGGGUGCUCGAGUGGCGAACGGGUGAGUAACACGUGAGUAACCUGCCCUUGACUUUGGGAUAACUUCAGGAAACUGGGGCUAAUACCGGAUAGGAGCUCCUGCUGCAUGGUGGGGGUUGGAAAGUUUCGGCGGUUGGGGAUGGACUCGCGGCUUAUCAGCUUGUUGGUGGGGUAGUGGCUUACCAAGGCUUUGACGGGUAGCCGGCCUGAGAGGGUGACCGGCCACAUUGGGACUGAGAUACGGCCCAGACUCCUACGGGAGGCAGCAGUGGGGAAUAUUGCACAAUGGGCGGAAGCCUGAUGCAGCAACGCCGCGUGCGGGAUGACGGCCUUCGGGUUGUAAACCGCUUUCGCCUGUGACGAAGCGUGAGUGACGGUAAUGGGUAAAGAAGCACCGGCUAACUACGUGCCAGCAGCCGCGGUGAUACGUAGGGUGCGAGCGUUGUCCGGAUUUAUUGGGCGUAAAGGGCUCGUAGGUGGUUGAUCGCGUCGGAAGUGUAAUCUUGGGGCUUAACCCUGAGCGUGCUUUCGAUACGGGUUGACUUGAGGAAGGUAGGGGAGAAUGGAAUUCCUGGUGGAGCGGUGGAAUGCGCAGAUAUCAGGAGGAACACCAGUGGCGAAGGCGGUUCUCUGGGCCUUUCCUGACGCUGAGGAGCGAAAGCGUGGGGAGCGAACAGGCUUAGAUACCCUGGUAGUCCACGCUGUAAACGGUGGGUACUAGGUGUGGGGUCCAUUCCACGGGUUCCGUGCCGUAGCUAACGCUUUAAGUACCCCGCCUGGGGAGUACGGCCGCAAGGCUAAAACUCAAAGGAAUUGACGGGGCCCCGCACAAGCGGCGGAGCAUGCGGAUUAAUUCGAUGCAACGCGUAGAACCUUACCUGGGUUUGACAUGGAUCGGGAGUGCUCAGAGAUGGGUGUGCCUCUUUUGGGGUCGGUUCACAGGUGGUGCAUGGCUGUCGUCAGCUCGUGUCGUGAGAUGUUGGGUUAAGUCCCGCAACGAGCGCAACCCUUGUUCACUGUUGCCAGCACGUUAUGGUGGGGACUCAGUGGAGACCGCCGGGGUCAACUCGGAGGAAGGUGGGGAUGACGUCAAGUCAUCAUGCCCCUUAUGUCCAGGGCUUCACGCAUGCUACAAUGGCUGGUACAGAGAGUGGCGAGCCUGUGAGGGUGAGCGAAUCUCGGGAAGCCGGUCUCAGUUCGGAUUGGGGUCUGCAACUCGACCUCAUGAAGUCGGAGCCGCUAGUAAUCGCAGAUCAGCAACGCUGCGGUGAAUACGUUCCCGGG